GUUUAAAGUUUUCAGUAUCAUACUUGUGGGCUCUUAAUAAUUGAAGAGCACCCACAAGAACUGUAUGGCGAAUCUCUCUUUCUCCGACCAAGUUUCAGGGGUCUAAAGUAAAUGGGGCUCCCAUGAUAAGCAUACUGACUGAAUUACUAGCAUCAUCAAUUCGACUAGAAUCUAGUAUUUUUUCACGUUAUUAAUUUUUGGUUUCGGAUUUUAGGAUAGCCAAUUGUAUUGAAUUGGAUAAAUUCAAUAUGAUAAGUACGUUAAUUUUAAUUAUCUCUGUAGAAUCUAAUAUGAUUUUCAGUUUAUUUUUUUUAUAAGAAAAUCAUUGUAUUUUCGUCAAUUUAAGAUUGUGUUGAAGAAUGCCAUUUAAUAUUUCUCAGCAAAAAGUUAUAAAAGCAAUAGCAUAUUCAACGUGCUACAAAUAAAAUUUAACAAGUUUUCGAGGGUAAUUUUGUAACUUCAUGCACCAAUCCAACAUUUUCCAACAUUGUCUUGCAAACCUAAGAUGACAUUGAAAUUAGAUUACACUUAAUCCGAA